GCCUUCAUGAAGCUGGAAUUGCUAGUAAUGGCAGGUCAGCAUACUGCCGUGAAUACGUUCCCGGGCCUUGUACACACCGCCCGUCACACCAUGAGAGUUGGAAAUACCCGAAGCCUGUGAGCUAACUUAAAGAGGCAGCAGUCGAAGGUAGAGCCAAUGAUUGGGGUGAAGUCGUAACAAGGUACC
rnacentral:rRNA from 1 species